rnacentral:lncRNA from 1 species
UGACUUUCUAGUCUUCACCUUUAAGCAAAGCCUUCAUCUUGUCUCUGCGUUGUUCUGUGUGACCAAUAGGUACAAUGAAUAUAAUAAUCUGUUACUUCCAAGAUGAAGAAACAAAAACCACUGACCUCAGACUUGGAUCUCUAUCACGUUGGUGAAUCACUGUCCCUGGGAGGAUUCAGCUGGCUCAUUUGAAGGCACUUGGGCAGCUUUAUAGAGAAGCCCACAGUGAUGAGACACUAAUGCCUCCAAGUGUGUGAGCCUCCUUAAAAGCAGAUUACUUAGCCCCAGCUAAGCCUUCAGCAUGCUCAUCUGUGUGAAGGUCUCAGAUCCUCUGGAGAUGGAAUUACAGACAGUGGUGAGCUGCCAUGUGAGUCUGAGACUUAAACCUUG